GACGAACGCUGGCGGCGUGCUUAACACAUGCAAGUCGAGCGGUAAGGCCCUUUCGGGGGUACACGAGCGGCGAACGGGUGAGUAACACGUGGGUGACCUGCCUUUAGCUCUGGGAUAAGCCUGGGAAACUGGGUCUAAUACCGGAUAUGACUCCAUGAUGCAUGUUGUGGGGUGGAAAGCCUUGUGCGGCUGGAGAUGGGCCCGCGGCCUAUCAGCUUGUUGGUGGGGUGAGGCCUACCAAGGCGACGACGGGUAGCCGGCCUGAGAGGGCGACCGGCCACACUGGGACUGAGACACGGCCCAGACUCCUACGGGAGGCAGCAGUGGGGAAUCUUGCGCAAGUGGGCGAAAGCCUGACGCAGCGACGCCGCGUGAGGGAUGACGGCCUCGGUGU
rnacentral:rRNA from 1 species